rnacentral:rRNA from 1 species
GACGAACGCUGGCUACGUGCUUAACACAUGCAAGUCGAACGGAAAGGCCCUGCUUUUGUGGGGUUCUCUAGUGGCGAACGGGUGAGUAACACGUUAGUACCUUUCCCUCCACUUUGGGAUUACUUCAUGAAACUGGGGCUAAUACCGUAUUGGAGCUCCUUCUGCCUCGAGGGGGUUGGAAUGUUUCGGCGGUUGGGGAUGGACUCGCGGCUUAUCAGCUUGUUGGUGGGGUAGUGGCUUACCAAGGCUUUGACGGGUAGCCGGCCUGAGAGGGUGACCGGCCACAUUGGGACUGAGAUACGGCCCAGACUCCUACGGGAGGCAGCAGUGGGGAAUAUUGCACAAUGGGCGGAAGCCUGAUGCAGCAACGCCGCGUGCGGGAUGACGGCCUUCGGGUUGUAAACCGCUUUCGCCUGUGACGAAGCGUGAGUGACGGUAAUGGGUAAAGAAGCACCGGCUAACUACGUG